GACGAACGCUGGCGGCGUGCUUAACACAUGCAAGUCGAACGGAAAGGCCCUGCUUUUGUUGGGUGCUCGAGUGGCGAACGGGUGAGUAACACGUGAGUAACCUGCCCUUGACUUUGGGAUAACUUCAGGAAACUGGGGCUAAUACCGGAUAGGAGCUCCUGCUGCAUGGUGGGGGUUGGAAAGUUUCGGCGGUUGGGGAUGGACUCGCGGCUUAUCAGCUUGUUGGUGGGGUAGUGGCUUACCAAGGCUUUGACGGGUAGCCGGCAUGAGAGGGUGACCGGCCACAUUGGGACUGAGAUACGGCCCAGACUCCUACGGGAGGCAGCAGUGGGGAAUAUUGCACAACGGGCGGAAGCCUGAUGCAGCAACGCCGCGUGCGUGAUGACGGCCUUCGGGUUGUAAACCGCUUUCGCCUGUGACGAAGCGUGAGUGACGGUAAUGGGUAAAGAAGCACCGGCUAACUACGUG
rnacentral:rRNA from 1 species